rnacentral:rRNA from 1 species
GAUGAACGCUGGCGGCGUGCCUAAUACAUGCAAGUCGAGCGAACGGACGAGAAGCUUGCUUCUCUGAUGUUAGCGGCGGACGGGUGAGUAACACGUGGAUAACCUACCUAUAAGACUGGGAUAACUUCGGGAAACCGGAGCUAAUACCGGAUGAUAUCUUGAACCGCAUGGUUCAAUAGUGAAAGACGGUCUUGCUGUCACUUAUAGAUGGAUCCGCGCUGCAUUAGCUAGUUGGUAAGGUAACGGCUUACCAAGGCAACGAUGCAUAGCCGACCUGAGAGGGUGAUCGGCCACACUGGAACUGAGACACGGUCCAGACUCCUACGGGAGGCAGCAGUAGGGAAUCUUCCGCAAUAGGCGAAAGCCUGACGGAGCAACGCCGCGUGAGUGAUGAAGGUCUUCGGAUCGUAAAACUCUGUUAUUAGGGAAGAACAUAUGUGUAAGUAACUGUGCACAUCUUGACGGUACCUAAUCAGAAAGCCACGGCUAACUACGUG